rnacentral:rRNA from 1 species
UACGUAGGGUGCAAGCGUUGUCCGGAAUUAUUGGGCGUAAAGAGCUCGUAGGCGGUUUGUUGCGUCGGCUGUGAAAUCCCGAGGCUCAACCUCGGGUCUGCAGUCGAUACGAGCAAACUAGAGUGUUGCAGGGGAGACUGGAAUUCCUGGUGUAGCGGUGAAAUGCGCAGAUAUCAGGAGGAACACCGGUGGCGAAGGCGGGUCUCUGGGCAACAACUGACGCUGGAGGAGCGAAAGCGUGGGGAGCAACAGG